CCUACGGGAGGCAGCAGUGGGGAAUAUUGGGCAAUGGGCGAAAGCCUGACCCAGCAACGCCGCGUGAAGGAAGAAGGCUUUCGGGUUGUAAACUUCUUUUGACAGGGAAGAGCAGAAGACGGUACCUGUCGAAUAAGCCACGGCUAACUACGUGCCAGCAGCCGCGGUAAUACGUAGGUGGCAGGCGUUGUCCGGAUUUACUGGGGGUAAAGGGCGUGUAGCCGGGCUGACAAGUCAGAUGUGAAAUCCGGGGGCUCAACCCCCGAACUGCAUUUGAAACUGUUGGUCUUGAGUAUCGGAGAGGCAGGCGGAAUGCCUAGUGUAGCGGUGAAAUGCGUAGAUAUUAGGAGGAACACCAGUGGCGAAGGCGGCCUGCUGGACGACAACUGACGGUGAGGCGCGAAAGCGUGGGGAGCAAACAGGAUUAGAUACCCUAGUAGUC
rnacentral:rRNA from 1 species